rnacentral:tRNA from 1 species
GCGUCAGUGGUUUAGUGGUAAAAUCCAUCGUUGCCAUGUGCAACACUCGAUGGGCCCCGCGUUCGAUUCGCGGCUGACGCA